GAUGAACGCUGGCGGCGUGCCUAAUACAUGCAAGUCGAGCGAAUGAUGAGGAGCUUGCUCCUCUGAUUUAGCGGCGGACGGGUGAGUAACACGUGGGUAAUCUGCCUGUAAGACGGGGAUAACUCCGGGAAACCGGGGCUAAUACCGGAUAACAAGAGAAGAAGCAUUUCUUCUUUUUGAAAGUCGGUUUUGGCUGACACUUACAGAUGAGCCCGCGGCGCAUUAGCUAGUUGGUGAGGUAACGGCUCACCAAGGCGACGAUGCGUAGCCGACCUGAGAGGGUGAUCGGCCACACUGGGACUGAGACACGGCCCAGACUCCUACGGGAGGCAGCAGUAGGGAAUCUUCGGCAAUGGGCGAAAGCCUGACCGAGCAACGCCGCGUGAGCGAUGAAGGCCUUCGGGUCGUAAAGCUCUGUUGUUAGAGAAGAACAAGUACGAGAGUAACUGCUCGUACCUUGACGGUACCUAACCAGAAAGCCACGGCUAACUACGUGCCAGCCGCCGCGGUAAGAC
rnacentral:rRNA from 1 species